GACGAACGCUGGCGGCGUGCUUAACACAUGCAAGUCGAACGGUAAGGCCCUUUCGGGGGUCCACGAGUGGCGAACGGGGGGGUAACACGCGGGUGAGCUGCCCUUCACUUUGCGAUAAGCCUGGUAAACUGGGUCUAUUUCCUGAGAGGACUACUCUAUGCCUGUCGUGUGGGGGAGAGUUUAUGCGGUUUGGGAUUGGCGCGCGGCCUAUCAGCUUGUUGGUUGGGUGAUGGCCUACCAAGGCGACGACGGGUAGCAGGCCUGAGAGGGUGUCCGGCCACACUGGGACUGAGCUACGGCCCAGACUACACCGGGAGGCAGCAGUGGGGAAUAUUGCAUAAUGGGAGCAAGCCAGAUGUAGCGAAGCCGCGUGGGGGAUGACGGCAUUCGGGUUGUAUACCAAUUUCAGCACAGACGAAGCGAAAGUGACGGUAUGUGGAGAAGAAGCUCCGGCUAACUACGUG
rnacentral:rRNA from 1 species